AUGAAAAAGCAGAAGAGCAUUAUUCUUAAAAUGGACGAACCAUUACCAAACUCAAACCCCUUUGACCUUUUAACUGAAGAGAUAAUCUUCGUUAUCCUUGACUCUCUAAACGACGACGCAUUUGCCAAGAAGUCGUUUUCCUUAGUCUGCAAGUCGUUUUACUUCAUCGAGUCUCGCCACCGCAAGACUCUCAGGCCUUUGAGCUCCGACCUCGUACUAAGAACACUGAAACGGUACCGUUUCGUGUCUGAGCUCGACCUCUCUCUCUGUCCUCGAGUUGACGACGCCGCGUUGACUCAGAUAGCCUCGUCGAGAAGCUCUCUCCGCUCGAUCAACCUGUCGAGGUCGAGUCUGUUCACGCACAACGGGCUGUCGAGUUUGGUGGCGAACUGUGCUGGGUUGGUGGAGAUCGAUUUGUCGAACCGGGCGGAGCUGACGGACACGGCGGCGGCGGCGAUUGCGGAGGCGAAGAAUCUCGAGAGGCUGAGUUUGGCGAGGUGUAAGAUGAUCACCGACAUGGGGAUUGGUUGUGUGGCGGUUGGGUGUAAAAAGUUGAGGUUCAUUAGCUUGAAAUGGUGCCUUCGUGUCGGUGAUUUGGGUGUCGGAUUGAUCGCUAUGAAAUGCAAGCAGAUUCGGGCUAUGGAUCUCUCUUACGUACCGAUCACUGAGAAAUGUCUUCCACCAAUCCUGGAACUGGAGCAUCUAGAAGAUUUGGUUCUUGAGGGAUGCCCAGGUAUUGAUGAUGAUGGCCUUGCAACCCUUAAACACAGUUCCAAGUCGCUAAAGACACUUAAUAUGUCAAAUUGUCAGAAUGUCAGUCAUGUGGGUUUGUCUUCUCUGACAUAUGGUGCUGAGUACCUGCAACAUCUUUUUCUAUCAUACAGUCUUUCUGUGACUGCUGAUCUAGCAAAAUGUCUGCAUAAUAUUUCCGGGUUGCAGUCUAUUAAAUUAGAUGGUUGUUCAGUUACAACUUCUGGGAUAAAAGCCAUUGGAAAUUGGCUUGCGUCACUUAAGGAGCUGAGCUUAAGUAAAUGCUUGGGAGUGACUGAUGAAUGCCUAUCCUUCCUUGUGCAAACACACAAAGAACUGAGGAAGUUAGACAUAACAUGCUGUCGCAAGAUAACAUAUGCCUCUAUAGAUAGCAUAACAAAUUCAUGCACCUCCCUCACUUCUCUAAGGAUGGAGUCCUGUAGUUUGGUUUCAAAGGAUGCUUUUGUGCUGAUUGGACAGCGUUGCCGAUUCUUGGAGGAAUUGGAUGUCACAGAUAAUGAAAUUGACAAUGAAGGUUUGAAGUCCAUCUCAAGAUGUUCCAAACUUCUCACCUUAAAGCUUGGAAUUUGCUCGAACAUAACCGAUGAUGGGCUUACCCAUGUUGCAAAUGGUUGUUCCAAGCUCAAAGAGCUAGAUUUGUACAGAUCCUCUGGAAUAACUGACGAGGGCAUAACAGCAAUUGCUCAUGGCUGUCCUGCACUGGAGAUGAUUAACAUUGCUUACAACGAUAAAAUUACAGAUACUUCAUUAAUAUCCUUGUCAAAAUGCAUGCUGUUAAAAGCACUUGAGAUUCGAGGAUGUCAUUCUGUGUUGUCAGUGGGUCUAUCAGCCAUUGUUAGGGAAUGUAGGCAACUUAUGGUGCUGGACAUAAAGAAGUGCACCAACAUUAAUGAUAAUGGAAUGAUUCCAGUUGCUCAAUUUUCCAAAAACCUUAAACAGAUAAACUUGUCAUAUUGUUCAGUUACAGAUGUUGGGCUCUUAGCUCUCUCCAGCAUAAAGCGACUGCAGUGCAUGACUAUCUUGCACUUGUCAGGGUUGACUCCUAAUGGUCUGGCUGCUGCCCUGUUAGCCUGUCGAGGACUAACAAAAGUGAAGCUCCACGCAUCCUUUAAACCAUUACUUCCUCAAUCUCUCUUUGAAUAUAUGGAAGCCCGAGGCUGUGUGCUUCGCUGGAGGGACAAAGCAUUCCAGGUGGAAAUAGAUCCAAAAGGAUGGGAGAUUGCAUUAUGGAAGAAGUCAUGAAGCUGCAUAAUUUGGGAAAGAAAGAUAAGACUUCUUUACUGGUGUGUGCACCUGCGCGAAUUGCUUGCGGUGUGAACUCUAGACUGUUUAAUGUAAUGUAAUGGAUGCUGCACAGAUGCACUGCUGAAAUUUUCCAGUCACGUUUGAAUCAACCAAAUUUGACCUUUCUGUUGUCUUUUUUUAUGUUGUCAUUGAAAAGUUGUCGGUUGAUUUGAAUCAACCAAAUUAAACAGUUGCAACUGGCCCUAGUUCCCAAUGGUCUAGUGAUGGCAAAAUGUCCCCACCAUGUCCUAAUCUGAUCAGCAGCAUUCCACCUUGUGUGGGUUUUCUGUCUCAAAGAGAGGGCGGAAUAAUGACGGGUUAUGCUUAUCUCACUCUGCUUGACUUCAUAUACACAGUAUCCGUUUGGAUACACGUUUUUCAUC